rnacentral:rRNA from 1 species
CCUACGGGUGGCAGCAGUGAGGAAUAUUGGUCAAUGGACGGGAGUCUGAACCAGCCAUGUCGCGUGCAGGAAGACGGCCCUAUGAGUUGUAAACUUCUUUUGUACGAGGGUAAACCUGAAUACGUGUACCCUGCUGUAAGUACCGUACGAAUAAGGCUCGGCUAACUCCGUGCCAGCAGCCGCGGUAAUACGGAGGAUCCAAGCGUUAUCCGGAUUUAUUGGGUUUAAAGGGUGCGUAGGCGGAUUGUUAAGUUAGAGGUGAAAGUUUCGGGCUUAACACGGGAACUGCCGUUGAUACUGUUGGGCUAGAGGGUAGAUGCGGUAGGCGGAAUGCGUGGUGUAGGGGUGAAAUGCUUAGAUAUCAUACAGAACACCGAUUGCGAAGGCAGCUUAACAGUCUAUAUCUGACGUGGAGGCACGAAAGCGUGGGGAGCAAACAGGAGUAGAUACCCCAGUAGGC